rnacentral:rRNA from 1 species
GCCGCGGUAAUACGUAGGGUGCAAGCGUUGUCCGGAAUUAUUGGGCGUAAAGAGCUCGUAGGCGGUUUGUCGCGUCUGCUGUGAAAUCCCGAGGCUCAACCUCGGGCUUGCAGUGGGUACGGGCAGACUAGAGUGCGGUAGGGGAGAUUGGAAUUCCUGGUGUAGCGGUGGAAUGCGCAGAUAUCAGGAGGAACACCGAUGGCGAAGGCAGAUCUCUGGGCCGUAACUGACGCUGAGGAGCGAAAGCGUGGGGAGCGAACAGGAUUAGAUACCCUGGUAGUCCACGCCGUAAACGUUGGGCGCUAGAUGUAGGGACCUUUCCACGGUUUCUGUGUCGUAGCUAACGCAUUAAGCGCCCCGCCUGGGGAGUACGGCCGCAAGGCUAAAACUCAAAGGAAUUGACGGGGGCCCGCACAAGCGGCGGAGCAUGCGGAUUAAUUCGAUGCAACGCGAAGAACCUUACCAAGGCUUGACAUACACCGGAAACGGCCAGAGAUGGUCGCCCCCUUGUGGUCGGUGUACAGGUGGUGCAUGGUUGUCGUCAGCUCGUGUCGUGAGAUGUUGGGUUAAGUCCCGCAACGAGCGCAACCCUCGUUCUAUGUUGCCAGCGCGUUAUGGCGGGGACUCAUAGGAGACUGCCGGGGUCAACUCGGAGGAAGGUGGGGAUGACGUCAAAUCAUCAUGCCCCUUAUGUCUUGGGCUUCACGCAUGCUACAAUGGCCGGUACAAAGGGCUGCGAUACCGUAAGGUGGAGCGAAUCCCAAAAAGCCGGUCUCAGUUCGGAUUGAGGUCUGCAACUCGACCUCAUGAAGUCGGAGUCGCUAGUAAUCGCAGAUCAGCAACGCUGCGGUGAAUACGUUCCCGGGCCUUGUACACACCGCCCGUCAAGUCAUGAAAGUCGGUAACACCCGAAGCCGGUGGCCUAACCCUUGUGGAAGGAGCCGUCGAAGGUGGGAUCGGUGAUUAGGACUAAGU